AGGAGGUAAAAAUGAGAA
rnacentral:misc_RNA from 1 species